rnacentral:rRNA from 1 species
AUGGGAAAGAAAUCCCGUCGACGUCGUGGUCCAUCGCCCGUCGAGGCAUCCUCCUGCCACCACCAGCCGUCCGCCUGCUCUCGCAUUCCCUGGGCGAUGGUGGACCGAAUCGCCCACCGCACCAAAGGGGACGGGGAUCGGGUUGUUCGAGACGAGGUUGCCGACGGCACGCUGUCGGAGAUCUCACCCACCUGCACCGGCAAGCCCAUCGCCGUCUCCCUCCGGGUAGCCGAGCCCCCGGAGGUGUCCCGCCUCUACCUCCACUGGCCGGGCGGACUCAGGCCGGAGAUGAGCGACAUGAACAGGCCAACCGUCAUCCCGGCACACGUACGUCCCCAUCGACGCCUGCGGCCUUAG